GAGUUUGAUCGUGGCUCAGGAUGAACGCUGGCGGCGUGCCUAAUACAUGCAAGUCGAACGAACAGAUAAGGAGCUUGCUCCUUUGACGUUAGCGGCGGACGGGUGAGUAACACGUGGGUAACCUACCUAUAAGACUGGAAUAACUCCGGGAAACCGGGGCUAAUGCCGGAUAACAUGUUGAACCGCAUGGUUCUACAGUGAAAGACGGUCUUGCUGUCACUUAUAGAUGGACCCGCGCCGUAUUAGCUAGUUGGUGGGGUAACGGCCUACCAAGGCGACGAUACGUAGCCGACCUGAGAGGGUGAUCGGCCACACUGGAACUGAGACACGGUCCAGACUCCUACGGGAGGCGAGCAGUAGGGAAGUCUUCCGCAAUGGG
rnacentral:rRNA from 1 species